GAUGAACGCUGGCGGCGUGCUUAACACAUGCAAGUCGAACGGAAAGGCUCCUGCUUGCAGGGGUACUCGAGUGGCGAACGGGUGAGUAACACGUGGGUGAUCUGCCCUUCACUUCGGGAUAAGCCUGGGAAACUGGGUCUACUACCGGGUAGGACCACAUUUUGGAUGGGGUUGUGGAAAGUUUUUCGGUGUGGGAUGAGCUCGCGGCCUAUCAGCUUGUUGGUGGGGUAAUGGCCGACCAAGGCGUCGGCGGGUGGCCGGCCUGAGAGGGGGUACGGCCACCUGGGGACUAGGAGACGGCCCAGAACCCUACGGGGGGCAGCAGGGGGGAAUAUUGCACAAGGGGGGCAAGCCGGAGGCAGAGACGCCCCGGGGGGGAUGACGGCCUUCGGGUGGUAAACUCAUUUCGCUAGGGACGAAGCGCAAGUGACGGUACCUGGAGAAGAAGCACCGGCUAACUACGUG
rnacentral:rRNA from 1 species